GGGAUGUUAGUCCCAAGGGCUAAGGAAAUGUUCUUUUCAUGCCCUGCAGAGAGACAGCCAUGCUCAACUCAUGGCUUUGGGCAUAGAAGUCAUGUCAUGCUGUAGCUGAGGGUCUGGACUCUGGAACCAAAUUGCCCGGAUUCGAGUCGUGCCUCUGCUUCUUGCUAUCUGGAUGACCUCAGCUGACAAAGGAUUUGUGCUCCGUGAAACACUGAAUAAUAUCAAUGAGACUAUUCAGAGAUUGGGCUCUGCAGUUUCUGUGCAUCAACACCCUGCGUACUCCCCCUUUUUAAUAAAUGGAUAAAUACUACAUUUGACGAUGGUGACAUUAUCCAUGUCCUCCACGGCGGCUACUUUGUUGGCUACAUUCGGGAAGUCUGAAAGGCUGUGGAGAAUGUUAACAGGGUUCAAAUACGGGCCUUUCGCGGCAGGCUCUUCGUUAGAAUGUGGCGCUGGGAGAACCUUCUGAAGCUGGCCCAAGCCCUCAGGGAUGGACUAGCGAUGGAAGGCCUCGAUAGCGUGGAUAAGGAAAGAGGGGCCCCAGUGUCAGGCUUUCAUCUGCCAGCCGGAGUAGUCCAAGCUGUCACCCCAUGGACUCCAAAUGGAGAUUAUGGACAAAGGAGGAACGACACUGGACGCCAAUGGUUUCUCUCUGGAACAGAAGGGAGGUUAACCCCCAGCAGGGCUGGCCAGCAAGGCCAGGGAGGCCGCCAAGCUGUGACACACCUGGAGAACACAGCAGCCACAGACCAUGGCUCAGAAGCAAAAGCAUCCGAGAGCUGGAGCCCCCAGAGGGGAGAACCAUCCCCAGAGCCAAGCUGGGGACACCCACCAAGGACAAACCAACUCAAGUCAUGUGCUCCCAGUGUGGGGACGGGCUGCUCCGCUGCGGGUCUUCCGACUUCUGGCCAGACAACGCUCUGGUCUCUUUUCCACCAACACACAGCACCAUCUUGAAUCACAAUGGUGAAAGAACUGAAACUCUGUAGCCAUCAAACAACAACUCCGCAUUCCCUGCUCCCCACCCCUGACACCCUGCUCCUUUCUGCCUCUAUGGGUGUGACUACUCCAGGUACCUCAUGUCAGAGGAAUCAGACAGUACCCGCGGAUGCCUUGACUUAGCACAAGAAAGAAAAAUGUGUUCAAUCCAGCGGCCCUCAAUCUUAAGAAAAGAUGAGAUCUAAAAGGAUUCUGGGAAGGUUUACAAUAGACGUGCCCCAAACUGCCACCUGACAGACACCGCAACCAGAGGCUGAGUAAAGCGCGUCCCUUUCAAGAAAUGGAAAGUAAAACUUAAGACAUUUGGUGAUGAGGCAAAAUAUCUUAAUAUUGCUAAUGUUCAAAGGUCGAGAUUUGGAGAUCUGAUGAACAGAGAACUCUCAAAGAGAGAAAAAGAAAUCUUCUAUUGUUGCCUAUUUAUGGAAAAAAUGUCCCCGUUAUCGAACAGUGUUGACUGUUUAUCUUAGAAAAGC
rnacentral:lncRNA from 1 species